UGACCGUUCCAUUUUGAAUCAUCCAAAUAUCACAAUAUGUGCGGACUACCAGCAUUACAGCAAUAAGCAGCAAAUAACCUGUCUCCUUACAAAAUGCUCUAGGGACCAUUAUUUUCAGGAUUCGACAUAUCCUUGCAAUAAACAAUCUGUCCACCAUCGCUCGCUCCUUCUUUCCCUCUUUCUCAUUGUUCUGCAACGCUUGUUUUCCACUUCUUUUACCGUGCUGGGCCGCGGCCCGCCGCUUGUUGAGCAGGCAGAGCAGCGCGCAGGCGGCGGCCGUGCCGCCGACGAUGGCGGAAUGGCGCACGGUGAGGUACUUGCUGUAGGCAGCCAUGGCGCGAGUGCAGCCGCAGAGCCGCAGCCGAGCCCAGCCGUUCCGAG
rnacentral:lncRNA from 1 species